AAUUCGAAGCAACGCGAAGAACCUUACCUGGUCUUGGCAUCCCGGAGACCCUUAGGAAACUAGGGGUGCUUCCAUCUGGAAGAAUCUGGAGACAGGUGCUGCAUGGCUGUCGUCAGCUCGUGUCGUGAGAUGUUGGGUUAAGUCCCGCAACGAGCGCAACCCUUGCCUUUAGUUGCCAGCAGUUCGGCUGGGCACUCUAAAGGGACUGCCGGUGUUAAACCGGAGGAAGGUGGGGAUGACGUCAAGUCCUCAUGGCCUUUAUGACCAGGGCUACACACGUACUACAAUGGCCGAUACAAAGGGCAGCGACACUGCGAGGUGAAGCCAAUCCCGUAAAAUCGGUCUCAGUCCGGAUUGGAGUCUGCAACUCGACUCCAUGAAGUUGGAAUCGCUAGUAAUCGUGGAUCAGCAUGCCACGGUGAAUACGUUCCCGGGCCUU
rnacentral:rRNA from 1 species